GAUGAACGCUGGCGGCGUGCCUAAUACAUGCAAGUCGAGCGAACAGACGAGGAGCGUGCUCCUCUGACGUUAGCGGCGGACGGGUGAGUAACACGUGGAUAACCUACCUAUAAGACUGGGAUAACUUCGGGAAACCGGAGCUAAUACCGGAUAAUAUAUUGAACCGCAUGGUUCAAUAGUGAAAGACGGUUUUGCUGUCACUUAUAGAUGGAUCCGCGCCGCAUUAGCUAGUUGGUAAGGUAACGGCUUACCAAGGCAACGAUGCGUAGCCGACCUGAGAGGGUGAUCGGCCACACUGGAACUGAGACACGGUCCAGACUCCUACGGGAGGCAGCAGUAGGGAAUCUUCCGCAAAGGGCGAAAGCCUGACGGAGCAACGCCGCGUGAGUGAUGAAGGUCUUCGGAUCGUAAAACUCUGUUAUUAGGGAAGAACAAAUGUGUAAGUAACUAUGCACGUCUUGACGGUACCUAAUCAGAAAGCCACGGCUAACUACGUG
rnacentral:rRNA from 1 species